rnacentral:rRNA from 1 species
GACGAAUGCUGGCGGCGUGCUUAAAACAUGCAAGUAGAAUGGAGUGGCGAACGGGGGAGUAACACGUGGGUGACCUGCCCUGCAGUUCGGGAUAAGCCUGGGUAAUUGGGUCUAAUAUCGGCUAGUGUGGGAUGGGCCCGCCGCCUACCUGCUUGGUGGAGGGGUAAUGGCCUACCAAGGCGGCGACGGGUAGCCGGCCUGGGAGGGUUGACGGCCACGUUGGGACUGAGAAACGGGCCAGACUCCUACGUGAGGCAGCAGUGGGGGAUAUUGCACAAUGGGCGGAAGGCUGACGCAGCGUCGCGGCUUGGGAGAUGACGGCCUUCGGGUUGUAAACUCCUUUCACCAUCGACGCGGUAGAUGGAGAAGAAGCACCAGCUAACGACGUACCAGCCGCCGCGGUAAUUC